GUGACUCCGUGACCGGAACGGCCAUGAGAUCGUACGAGCCGCUCAUCACACUCAAUCUGGGCCGUCCGUCGGCACAUCCUCCAUCAUUUAACUCCUGCCGCUCCCCUACCUAGGGUUUUUCUCGAUGCUCGAAGGCUGCAGCUAGGGUUUUCGAAGAUCUGGAUCUUUGUUCUCGCUGUUGAUUUGGGUACUCUCUUUCUUUUUCCCUUUCUCCGUUUUUCUAGAUUUUCUGGCUGUUGUUUUUCUCUUUUGCACCGCAGAUGAGAAUCUUUCGAAGGGUUGUUCUUUUUUUUU